rnacentral:misc_RNA from 1 species
AGGAAUUGAUGUCACUGAUGAUGAGUGGAGGUGAUCUAGGUGUAUCAGCUUUUCCAGAUGGUGAGAGCAUUUUCACAUGGAUAGGCACGAUCGAGGGUGGGAAAGGAACUACCUACGAGGGUUUGUCUUACAAACUCUCCUUACAUUUUCCCAUGGAGUACCCUUUCAAGCCGCCCCUUGUUAAGUUCGAGACUAUGUGCUUCCAUCCAAAUGUUGAUCAAUAUGGCAACAUUUGUCUAGAUAUUCU